ACGCUUGAAGUCAGUCGCGUCAUCCAGGGAUCAACCUUGCUUUUGCUUGGUGCACUUUCUGGUUUGAUGGGUCAGCAUCAAUUUCGACUAUUGGAAAAAGGCUAAGGGAAUGUGGCAUCUUUGGAUGUGUUAUAGCCCUUGGUCGCAUACAAUGGUUGGGAUUGAGGAACUCAGCACGCCGCAAGGCCGGGUUUUAUACCACGUACGUGCUUAGGAUGCUGGCAAUAUGGCUUUAAUCGACCCGUCUUGAAACACGGACCAAGGAGUC
rnacentral:rRNA from 1 species